CUACGGGGUGCUCCAGUGAGGAAUAUUGCACAAUGGAGGAAACUCUGAUGCAGCAACGCCGCGUGGAGGAUGACGCAUUUCGGUGUGUAAACUCCUUUUAUAUGUCAAGAAAAUGACGGUAGCAUAUGAAUAAGCACCGGCUAACUCCGUGCCAGCAGCCGCGGUAAUACGGAGGGUGCAAGCGUUACUCGGAAUCACUGGGCGUAAAGGACGCGUAGGCGGGAUAUCAAGUCAGGUGUGAAAUCCUACAGCUUAACUGUAGAACUGCACUUGAAACUGGUAACCUAGAGUAUGGGAGGGGGAGAUGGAAUUAGUGGUGUAGGGGUAAAAUCCGUAGAUAUCACUAGGAAUACCUAAAGCGAAGGCGAUCUCCUGGAACAUUACUGACGCUAAGGCGUGAAAGCGUGGGGAGCAAACAGGAUUAGAUACCCUUGUAGUC
rnacentral:rRNA from 1 species